UGCAGAGGAUGCUUUGGGCGCGGCGCCUCCCGAGUCCCCUGGAACGGGGCGCCACAGAGGGUGAGAGCCCCGUAUGGUAGGACGCCUAGCCUGUGUAAAGCUCCUUCGACGAGUCGAGUAGUUUGGGAAUGCUGCUCUAAAUGGGAGGUAAAUUCCUUCUAAAGCUAAAUACCGGCCAGAGACCGAUAGCGUACAAGUAGAGUGAUCGAAAGAUGAAAAGCACUUUGAAAAGAGGGUCAAACAGCACGUGAAAUUGUUGAAAGGGAAGCGCUUGUGACCAGACGUGCGCUGGGUCGAUCAUCCGGUGUUCUCACCGGUGCACUCGGCCUGGCGCAGGCCAGCAUCGGUUCUCGUGGGGGGAGAAAAACCCGGGGAACGUAGCGCCUCCGGGCGUGUUAUAGCCCCGGGCGCAAUACCCUCGCGGGGACCGAGGCCCGCGCUUCUGCAAGGAUGCUGGCGUAAUGGUCACCAGCGACCCGUCUUGAAACACGGACCAAGGAGUCAAGGUUUUGCGCGAGUGUUUGGGUGGCAAACCCGCACGCGUAAUGAAAGUGAACGUAGGUGAGAGCUUCGGCGCAUCAUCGACCGAUCCUGAUGUUCUCGGAUGGAUUUGAGUACGAGCGUAAUGCCUUGGACCCGAAAGAUGGUGAACUAUGCCUGGAUAGGGUGAAGCCAGAGGAAACUCUGGUGGAGGCUCGCAGCGGUUCUGACGUGCAAAUCGAUCGUCAAAUCAGGGCAUGGGGGCGAAAGACUAAUCGAACCAUCUAGUA
rnacentral:rRNA from 1 species